rnacentral:rRNA from 1 species
UACGUAGGGGGCGAGCGUUGUCCGGAAUUACUGGGCGUAAAGGGCGCGUAGGCGGUUUAGCAAGUCGUCUGUGAAAUACCAGGGCUUAACCCUGGGGGUGCAGACGAAACUGCAAGACUUGAGUGCGGUAGAGGUAAGUGGAAUUCCUAGUGUAGCGGUGAAAUGCGUAGAUAUUAGGAGGAACACCAGUGGCGAAGGCGACUUACUGGGCCGUAACUGACGCUGAGGCGCGAAAGCGUGGGGAGCAAACAGG